AUGGUAGAAGCAGAUCGUCCUGGCAAGCAUUUCAUUGGUGGCCUAAAUAGGGAAAACAAUGAAAAGAUGUUUAAAGCAGUAUUUGCGAAACAUGGUCCCAUAUCAGAAGUUCUUUUGAUAAAGGAUCGAACCAGCAAAUCCAGAGGCUUUGCAUUUACUACUUUUGAGAACACUGCAGAUGCUAAGAAUGCUGCCAAACAUAUGAUUGGAAAGCCUUUGGAUGGAAAAGCAAUAAAAGUAGAACAAGCCAAGAAACCAUCUUUUCAAAGUGGUGGUAGGCAGAGACCACCAGCUUCCUCAAGAAGCAGAAGCCCUUCAGGAUGUCUGAGAUCUGCAAGAGGAAGUAGUGGAGGAACAAGAGGAUGGCAUCCCUCACAUGAAGGACGCUUGGAUGAUGAUGCAUACUCUCUUGAUCUCAACACGAGUUCUUCUAGGCAACCCAUUCUAGUUAAAAGAGGUCCCUCUUCAAAAAGUGGAGGUCCUCCUCCUAAAAAGUCUGCUCCUUCUGCUGUGGUAAGAAGCAAUAAUUGGAUGAGAGGCCAAGGUCCCAUAUCAUGUGGAAGAGAGAAUUAUGGAGGUCCUACACGUAGACGGCCAAUCUCUUCCUGGAGAAAUGACCACAUGUCUCUAAGAGACGAUGGUUAUGCAACUAAGGAGAGAAAUCAUCCAAGCUCCUGAGAAACUAGGACACCACCUAGAGACUAUGCAUACCAUGAUUAUGGUCAUUCUAGCUGGGAUGAACAUUCUUCUAGAGGAUAUAGAAAUCAUCCACGCUCCUGAGAAACCAGGGAUUAUGCUCCACCACCUAGAGACUAUGCAUACUGUGAUUAUGGUCGUUCUAGUCGGGAUGAACAUUCCUCUGUAGGAUAUAGUGAUCCUGUUGGCUAUGGUGAGACCAGUGGUAGAGAUCAUUCUGAACAUACAAGUGGAAGUUCUUACAGAGAUGCAUUUCAGGGAUAUGGGACCUCUCAUGGUGCACCACCUGCACGAGGGCCUCGGAUGUCUUAUGGUGGAAGCAGCCGCCCUGAUUAUAACAAUACACUAGAUAGAUAUGGCAGAAGUCAGGAGAGUUACUCAAGAAGCUGCGGUGAUUUUUAUUUUUGUGGUCAUGAGCACGUUGGCAGAAAAGACCAAAGGAAUCCACUUUCUCUGGAUAGGGUGCACCCUGCUCGUCGUGAAGCAUAUGGUAGCUCAAGUUAUGUGGCAUCUACAAUAGAUGGUCGGGAAAGUAGAUCUGAAAAAGGAGACUGAAGCAGAUAUUAA
rnacentral:lncRNA from 1 species